rnacentral:lncRNA from 1 species
CAAUCACAAGAAAAUCUGUCUUCUCAUCGGUGACAUGUUUAUAGUUGCGAUUGUGUGUUUAGUUCUUUGACUUGAGGUGCAUCGGCUAUUUACCUUAAGGGUACUAUAGUUUUACUACACCAUAACUCGAUCUCUUAGCUAUAUAUAGCCUUGAGGUGUAUAUUGGCUGAACUAUGUUCAUUGUAGGAAUUGGAUUGCACCAAGAUGGGAUCUAUUGACCUCGG